ACCUGGAUGGCUCAGUCGGUAGAGCGUGUGACUCUUAAUCUCGGGGCUGUGAGUUCAAGUUCCAUACUGGGUA
rnacentral:tRNA from 1 species